CCCACGACACUUGAGUGCUUUCUGCAUGACUGUACUGUGAAGUAGUUGGCCACUGGUAAACCAUCUCUAGCUUCACAUUAACAGACCCAGAGAUGCUCUAUCUGCCUCUAAAACACACAGUGGCUGUCCCAUGAGCACUCACUUCUCCGAAUGUAUGCCUCCAGCAGUGCAGGGCAUUAUGGCCCUUCUGAAUAAGUCCAGCAAUUGCCUAUACAGGCUUUAGGAGCCUGAUCUUGAGUGCUGUGGAUCUGAGAAGACUAUUCCAAUCCUAAGCAGUUCCAAGAGGAUUUUCCCUGACCCUCCAGCCCUCUUCUGCCACAAAAUGGCUCUCUAUUCAUUCUAAAAUGGACCAGAAAGCAGAAGGAUUGCCCUUGUUUGAAAAAUAAUGCCCUUGUUUGAGGAGUCCAGGCCAAGUAACUUCAUGCAGAAGGGAAGCUUCACCAUUUGGACAGGAGCUGAGCAGAUGUGACCUCAAUGUCUGCACUGCAUUAAAGCUUCGGUGUAAAUCUGAUGACCUCAUCUCCCCACAGCCUGUGAUUAAUUCUAUUUAUAAAAUACAGCUCAGCAGAUCAAAGUUAAUCCUUUCCAUGCCAAGUGGGGAGUACACAGUGAUGGGUCACUCUGUCAAAGGGUAGGAAACUAAAUCAGGCUGCUGUUCUUCAUCACGGAGUAGGAUACAGGGCUUUUACCUUCAAGAGGAAAGGUUUAAUGACUUUGAAGAACUUGUAAUGCCCAUUUCUUGAUACCCUUAAAUUCUAUUUCAAUUUUUUACUAUCUUCAAAAAAUAUAAAAUUCCUCAAAUAUCAGACUCAUAUUUUUAUUUGUUGCACCAUACAGCUUCCAAUACCUCACCAAUACACACACACACACACACACACACACACACACACGUUUGUAGAUCCCAUGCCUUUGAAAGAACUCUACGAAAAGGUAUGCCACUUAUCCAGCCAGAGGAUCUUGGUGUGUAAAUGAGGUCAUAUUAACAGAAAUAGCUCAAAUUUCACUGGGUCAUGAUUCUACUUGUCCUGAACACUCUCAGCUCCUUACCACCUCCCAUGACCAAGGACUCCAAAAAUCUACAGUGGGUAAGUCACAUGUGCUCUCAGUAAAUCUGUCCCUCUGGGCACUAAACCUCCACUGCAAGGUUCCUCUAGAGUUCCCACCAUGAUUUUCCCCAGUGCUCUGCCCAUGCUCUGGGCCUUUGCUGUGGCCCAGAUGUUUUAAUUCUUUUUAAAGACUAAAAUAGUACUUUUAAUUUCACUCACAGUGCUUGUGCUGUGUCAGGAUUCAGACAUGAGUCCAGUGAGGGGUCAGGGCAGAACCAGAAUCCAAAGGAUAGGCAUGAUUGUGUAGGCACAAAUGCCUCACUUCUGCAGUGACUGAGGUUUUCAUAUUGAGUCUGAGAUGGAUAUUUCCUGGGGGCAACUCAGUUUUCAUGCUAAUGCCUGGCUGGUGUUGAAUUCAGCUUUGUAUCCACAAACUAAAUCUGAUUUAAGCCAGAAUCCUGAAGCUGCAAGAGCAAGAAUCAAUGACCAACACACUGGUCCAUAAACAGAAUCAGGUGUAUCCUUUUCCUUAAGGAGGGAGUUACUAAAUGCUUAAGAGUUAACCAAAGAAUAUAGCACUUUGUAGAAAUCCUAAUCAAAGCCUUUGGCUCAACAAAGCCUUGCCUGCUGCUUGUUAUGAAACCAUCUCAUCCCCUCCACUAGAAAGAACCAAGCAACGUGUAAAACUUUUACUUCCCCUCAUAAAAGUGUAUAACAACAUUCAACCACUUUUACACCUUUUCUUCCUAAUACACGAUAUCCAAAAUGAGUUCAUAGGCAGAAAAAUGCCAUGAGGGGAGUUUGGCUUUUUUUUUACCGGCAAGCUUUUUGGAUGUGACAGCCUAGAGCCUUUCUCACUACCACCAACAGAUGGGACACAAUAUCCACCAAUGAGCCAUUAUGGUCUUUGGUUGUUAUUUUUCCUGUGGUUCAGCUGGAACACAUUCAGAAAAAUAAUACACAUUUCUGGGGCAGGUUUGCAUUAUAAUUUUGGAGUGUAAUCCAGACUUUCCCUUGUCUAUUUCCUACUGCAGCAAAAAUGGAGCCUCUCUCUCUAGUUCCAUUUGGACUUCACUGGGAGGAUGCAACUUGGCAAAACACAGCGAUACUGGGCUGCAAAUGGUUUGUAAAAACAUCAAUGGUCCCACAUGGGAGUCAGUACAUCUACCAUUCGAACUAGAUUGCAUUGGCUCUGUUGGGAGUAAUAUGGGUGCAUGUAUGCAGUUAUCACUAAAAGGCUUUUCAUACUGUGACAAUCAGAUCCUCUGGUGCUCAGAUAUUGCAUUCAUUUUCUAACUCAUUCAUCAUGUGAAUGGAAUGAGGAAAUAAUGGGAUCUGUUCAUCAUACUUAUCCAUCAUUUAGUGAGGACACCACGUUCAGCUUUUUUGGAUGAAAAAAGAAAGAUAAGUAAGAGGCUUAGCACUCCUAACAUCUGACAGUCCUAGCACCUCGUGAGGACAAACGUCACUCAGGAACCAUAUCACAACAGACAAGUCCUUGAGAAAGAGGGAAGAUGAUGAAUCUAGCAGAGCCCACCAGGCAAUUCUGGGCAGGCACACCUUCAAAACCCUCCUUCUUAUUUUACCACAUUCUCGAUAAAUCUUUUAGUUACAUUAAAAUAUUCUCAACUAAAUUAGAAUAAAAUUGUAUAUCUUUUGGCCUUGUAAAUCCACUUUCAAGAAUUUAUUCUUAAAAAAUCAGAAAUGUACAUAAAUACAAAUGUUCAAGAAUGUUCAUUCCUGUGAUAUUUUAAAUAGUGAAAAAUUGGAAAUGACCUAAAUUUCCAGGAAGUUUAGAUUACUUAAAUAGAUUAUAAUAGAGCAUGUAUCAUAAACAAUAUUUGUG
rnacentral:lncRNA from 10 species